AUCUUUUAAAUUAUAAAAAGUUAUUUUAGUACGAAAGGAGUAAAUAACUAAAAUAUUUUUAUAUA
rnacentral:rRNA from 1 species